ensembl:lncRNA
CCGCAGCCCAAGCCCUGACACAAGACCCGCCGGCUGCCGGCCCUGCGCAUAAGGGGGUGAGGGCCGGCACGAUGGCCGGCGUCUUAUUGAGGUGAUUCUAGCAGCUGCAGAUGCGGGCCUGCAAAAUCCUGGAGACCCAUGCCCGCAGCUCCUGGGUUCCCGAGGGGAAAUCGGGAGUCCCUUCGCCUCCAGCUGAUGCAAGCCCACCGGACUCUACGACCACGGCCCAGCGGCCCUCCCGCACGCGUUACCGCCCAGGCACCUCGCACUUGUUUGAAAAAAGAAGUGAGAGAGCCCCCUCGCCGCCCAGCGCCUGGGGGAUCUGCGGCCCACCCGACCUUGUGUUGGUGAGAAAGUUCCAUCUAGAGGCGGCCGCGCGCAACUGCAGCCCGCGCCCCAGGCCCGACCUCCUGCCCUGGCCGCCGAGUGAGCCCAGGACAGAGCGUCUCCUCUCCCCACUGUCCAGACCGCGUAGGAACGUGGAGGAGAAAGGAACCGCCAGUGGAAGAUGGGGAGGAUGGAGGAGGGGAGGACAGGCCCGGUGCAAGGCAGGCCCUCUCUCCCCAGUCGGCAUCUCUGCAAUGAAUUACACCUUUCAAAGCAUCAUGAACUUCGUAAGCAUGAUGACAGGUUUCAACAGUACAUGAACCAAGAACUUCCAGAUGUUCAAGCUGAAUUUAGAAAAGACAGAGGAACCAGAGAGGAAAUUGCCAACAUCCAUUGGAUCAUAGAAAACGCAAGAGAGUUCCAGAAAAACAUCUACUUCUGCUUUAUUGAUUAUGCCAAAGCCUUUGACUAUGCAGAUCACAACAAACUGUGGAAAAUUCUGAAAGAGAUGGGAAUACCAGAACAUUUUACCUAUCCUCCUACAAAACCUGUAUGCAGGUCAAGAAGCAACAGUUAGAACUGGACAUGGAACAACAGACUGGUUCCAAAUAGGAAAAGUAGUAUGUCAAGGCUGUAUAUUGUCACCCUGCUUAUUUAACUUAUAUGCAGAGUACCUCAUGCAAAAUGUGGGCUGGAUGAAGCACAAGUGGGAAUCAAGAUUUCUGGGAGAAAUAUCAAUAACUUCAGAUAUGCAGAUAACACCACUCUUACAGCAGAAAACGAA